GAUGAACGCUGGCGGCGUGCCUAAUACAUGCCAGUCGAGCGAACGGACGAGAAGCUUGCUUCUCUGAUGUUAGCGGCGGACGGGUGAGUAACACGUGGAUAACCUACCUAUAAGACUGGGAUAACUUCGGGAAACCGGAGCUAAUACCGGAUAAUAUUUUGAACCGCAUGGUUCAAAAGUGAAAGACGGUCUUGCUGUCACUUAUAGAUGGAUCCGCGCUGCAUUAGCUAGUUGGUAAGGUAACGGCUUACCAAGGCAACGAUGCAUAGCCGACCUGAGAGGGUGAUCGGCCACACUGGAACUGAGACACGGUCCAGACUCCUACGGGAGGCAGCAGUAGGGAAUCUUCCGCAAUGGGCGAAAGCCUGACGGAGCAACGCCGCGUGAGUGGUGAAGGUCUUCGGAUCGUAAAACUCUGUUAUUAGGGAAGAACAUAUGUGUAAGUAACUGUGCACAUCUUGACGGUACCUAAUCAGAAAGCCACGGCUAACUACGUG
rnacentral:rRNA from 1 species